AUGGCGGCAGUAGCUCCCCUCCUUCAGGAUCAGAUUCUGGUUCGAACAUGAAUCUGAUCCUGAAGGAGGGGAGUCUCCUGCACUACCCGAGACUCAGAGAAUUCAGCAAGAUGCUUCUGAAUGGUGCACAUGUGGAAAUUGUGCAACAAUGCCGUCAGAGCCUGAGAACUUGCUGCCAGGAGGUACCACAGUCGUUACAGGUAUUAAGCCUACAGAAGUUUUGUGAGCUGGUGCUGGGGCUUCCUUGGUAGAAAG